rnacentral:rRNA from 1 species
UACGAAGGGGGCUAGCGUUGCUCGGAUUUACUGGGCGUAAAGGGCGCGUAGGCGGACAGUUAAGUCGGGGGUGAAAGCCCGGGGCUCAACCUCGGAAUUGCCUUCGAUACUGGCUGUCUUGAGUACGGGAGAGGUGUGUGGAACUCCGAGUGUAGAGGUGAAAUUCGUAGAUAUUCGCAAGAACACCAGUGGCGAAGGCGGCUCACUGGCCCGAUACUGACGCUGGGGCACGAAAGCGUGGGGAGCAAACAGG